rnacentral:rRNA from 1 species
GAGACCCACGCCAACAGUUGCCAGCUCAUCCUCCGGGAUGGUGGGGACACUGUUGGGACCGCCUCUGCUAAAGAGGAGGAAGGAAUGGGCAACGGUAGGUCAGUAUGCCCCGAAUAUCCCGGGCUACACGCGAGCUACAAUGGUUGGUACAAUGGGUAUCUACCCCGAAAGGGGACGGAAAUCUCCUAACGCCAAUCUUAGUUCGGAUCGAGGGCUGCAACUCGCCCUCGUGAAGCUGGAAUCCGUAGUAAUCGCACAUCAACAGUGUGCGGUGAAUAC